rnacentral:rRNA from 1 species
CCUACGGGCGGCAGCAGUGGGGAAUAUUGCACAAUGGGGGAAACCCUGAUGCAGCGACGCCGCGUGAGUGAAGAAGUAAUUCGGUAUGUACAGCUCUAUCAGCAGGGAAGAAAAUGACGGUACGUGAGUAAGAAGCCGCGGGUAACUACGUGCCAGCAGCCGCGGUAAUACGUAGGGGGGAAGGGUUAUCCGGAUUUAAUGGGUGGAAAGGGAGCGUUAACGGGAGUGCAAGUCUGGAGUGAAAGGCGGGGGCUUAAACCCCGGACUGCUCUGGAAACUGGACGGCUGGAGUGCAGGAGAGGUAAGUGGAAUUCCUAGUGUAGCGGUGAAAUGCGUAGAUAUUAGGAGGAACACCAGUGGCGAAGGCAGCUUACUGGACUGUAACUGACGUUGAGGCUCGAAAGCGUGGGGAGCAAACAGGAUUAGAUACCCUAGUAGUC